rnacentral:rRNA from 1 species
GACGAACCACACAAACGUUAUUCGGAAUUACUGGGCUUAAAGGGUGCGUAGGCGGCGCGGAAAGUUGGGUGUGAAAUCCCUCGGCUCAACCGAGGAACUGCGCCCAAAACUACCGUGCUCGAGGGAGAUAGAGGUGAGCGGAACUUAGGGUGGAGCGGUGAAAUGCGUUGAUAUCCUAAGGAACACCCGUGGCGAAAGCGGCUCACUGGGUCUUCUCCGACGCUGAGGCACGAAAGCUAGGGUAGCGAACGGG